UGCAUUCACUACUAUAAGUCGCUCUGGAUAAGAGCAUCUGCUAAAUGACUAAAA
rfam:Salmo salar isolate Sally breed double haploid chromosome ssa06, whole genome shotgun sequence.